AUGCCGGCUCUUCGGCUUAGAAAUGGAAAUGAGCACCAACCCCCAGAGUCGUACAUGACUGGACUUAACAUCAGAGGAAACCUUUACCUUACCUAUUGGGAAUGUGGCCCAUCUUUUAUUGCAGAGAUUCCUACAUGGACCACAAAUACCACCGUUGGGAUGUCAAAAAAUCCCCACUAUUAUCUUCUAUUGAUCAGAGAUGACAACAGACUCCCACCCAUCCACACUUCAGUUUUCAACUGGGAAGAUAAACUGAAGCAGAGCCAACAAUAUACAAAUUAAGCAGAGCCAACAAUAUACUAAUUGAAAAUUAUUUGCUGCUUAUCCAUUGCCGCUUACCAGAAGGACAACCGAAACUGGAGUAAACCCGGGAACCAGUAGUAAACGGACUAUUGCAAUCUACAGCCAGCUACUUAGAAACAGCAUUGUGUUCUCCUAGCUGGGGAGCUAUAAACGGCUCUUUUUGACAACUACUCAGAAUCAACAUCAAUGCAUAGUUUGUUCCCCAGACUUGGGAUUUUACUCUUGAGAAACGGAACAUACUUCCAAUAGACUGUAAUUUCAAGAGAUAUUCCAUACACUUGAUGUCAUCAACACAGGAUCUCAAAGAAUCAAAAGAACUUUUGGUCAAGGUUUUUUCUAGAAUAAGCUUUUCAAUACCUGUGAAGUCUUAAAAGAUAUAUUAUCCAAUAUUAUUUUGUAAAGGUUGAAUGUGUUUAUAUUAUGUUGGUUGCCAAAUCCAAUUGGAGUCUUCAGAAACUGUUUAAAUAGUGGAGAUUACUUGAUAUGUUUUGACUUUAGUCCACAUUUAAGCCUUGAUAAUUACAGUUUCCUUUAAACAUUACAGUCUGGAAGAUACUACUGUGAAUUACAACAGUUGACUGUACUUAUUAUUUUCAUUAUUGUUGUUAACUCUCAGGUUAUAAUGUUUGUACAUGAUGCUCUAAAUUACAUAGCACAUUUUAUGUUUUGAACCUUUAUAGUAUUUGCUUAUCUUUUUCAAAUAGAAAGAAGAUAUCUCUAUACUCAGAGAGGCCUGACUAUUUCUCUGGCCUUUACAUAUCACAUCUCUUUUUAUGUUUUGAACCUUUAUAGUGUUUGCUUAUCUCUUCAACAUUGUAUAGACAUUUGUGUGUAUUUAUCAUUAUGGGGAGCACAUGUCUAGCAAUCUUGUUGCAACAGCUCUACUAGCUGCUGGUCCAUUUCAAGGUACAGUCAAGUCUCACUUAUCCAAGCUAAACGGGCCAGCAGAACCUUGGAUAAGCGAAUAUCUUGGAUAAUAAGGAGGGAUUAAGGAAAAGCCUAUUAAACAUCAAAUUAGGUCAUGAUUUUACAAAUUAAGCACCAAAAUAUCAU
rnacentral:lncRNA from 11 species